UGCUUCUAAUGAGGAAGAUUCGGUGGAAAUACAUGAUAGUGGACGAAGGCCACCGAAUGAAGAAUCACCACUGCAAGCUGACUCAGGUCUUGAACACUCACUAUGUGGCCCCCAGAAGGAUCCUCUUGACUGGGACCCCACUGCAGAAUAAGCUCCCUGAACUCUGGGCCCUCCUCAACUUCCUCCUUCCAACAAUUUUUAAGAGCUGCAGCACAUUUGAACAAUGGUUCAAUGCUCCAUUUGCCAUGACUGGUGAAAGGGUGGACUUAAAUGAAGAAGAAACUAUAUUGAUCAUCAGGCGUCUACAUAAGGUGUUAAGACCAUUUUUACUAAGGAGACUGAAGAAAGAAGUUGAAUCCCAGCUUCCAGAAAAAGUGGAAUAUGUGAUCAAGUGUGACAUGUCAGCUCUGCAGAAGAUUCUGUAUCGCCAUAUGCAAGCCAAGGGGAUCCUUCUCACAGAUGGUUCUGAGAAAGAUAAGAAGGGGAAAGGAGGCGCUAAGACUCUUAUGAACACUAUUAUGCAGUUGAGAAAAAUCUGCAACCACCCAUAUAUGUUUCAGCACAUUGAGGAAUCCUUUGCUGAACACCUAGGCUAUUCAAAUGGGGUCAUCAAUGGGGCUGAACUGUAUCGGGCCUCAGGAAAGUUUGAGCUACUUGAUCGUAUUCUGCCAAAAUUGAGAGCGACUAAUCACCGAGUGCUGCUUUUCUGCCAGAUGACAUCUCUCAUGACCAUCAUGGAGGAUUAUUUUGCUUUUCGGAACUUCCUUUACCUACGCCUUGAUGGCACCACCAAGUCUGAAGAUCGUGCUGCUUUGCUGAAGAAAUUCAAUGAACCUGGAUCCCAGUAUUUCAUUUUCUUACUGAGCACAAGAGCUGGUGGCCUGGGCUUAAAUCUUCAGGCAGCUGAUACAGUGGUCAUCUUUGACAGCGACUGGAAUCCUCAUCAGGAUCUGCAGGCCCAAGACCGAGCUCACCGCAUCGGGCAGCAGAAUGAGGUCCGGGUGCUGAGGCUCUGUACCGUGAACAGCGUGGAGGAAAAGAUCCUCGCGGCCGCAAAAUACAAGCUGAACGUGGAUCAGAAAGUGAUCCAGGCAGGCAUGUUUGACCAAAAGUCUUCAAGCCACGAGCGGAGGGCAUUCCUGCAGGCCAUCUUGGAGCAUGAAGAGGAAAAUGAGGAAGAAGAUGAAGUACCGGACGAUGAGACUCUGAACCAAAUGAUUGCUCGACGAGAAGAAGAAUUUGACCUUUUUAUGCGGAUGGACAUGGACCGGCGGAGGGAAGAUGCCCGGAACCCGAAACGCAAGCCCCGCUUAAUGGAGGAAGAUGAGCUGCCCUCCUGGAUCAUUAAGGAUGACGCUGAAGUAGAAAGGCUCACCUGUGAAGAAGAGGAGGAGAAAAUAUUUGGGAGGGGGUCUCGCCAGCGCCGUGACGUGGACUACAGUGACGCCCUCACGGAGAAGCAGUGGCUAAGGGCGAUUGAAGACGGCAAUUUGGAGGAAAUGGAAGAGGAAGUACGGCUUAAGAAGCGAAAAAGACGAAGAAAUGUGGAUAAAGAUCCUGCGAAAGAAGAUGUGGAAAAAGC
rnacentral:sRNA from 1 species